GUCUACAGCCACGCCACUCUGAAUAUGCCUGAUCUCAUCUAUUCUCGGAAGCUAAGCAGGGUCAAGCCUGAUUAGUACUUGGAUAGAAGACCACCUAGGAAUACCAGGUGCUGUAGGCA
rnacentral:rRNA from 1 species